UCCACGCCGUAAACGAUGGUCACUAGCUGUUCGAACUUCGGUUUGAGUGGCUAAGCGAAAGUGAUAAGUGACCCACCUGGGGAGUACGUUCGCAAGAAUGAAACUCAAAGGAAUUGACGGGGGCCCGCACAAGCGGUGGAGCAUGUGGUUUAAUUCGAUGAUACGCGAGGAACCUUACCAGGGCUUAAAUGUAAGUUGCAUAGUUUAGAGAUAGACUUUUCUUCGGACUACUU
rnacentral:rRNA from 1 species